rnacentral:rRNA from 1 species
UAGGUAGGUGGUCUCAUUUGUCUGGGGUGAAAUCCUUGGGCUUAACCCAAGAAGUGCCCCAGAAACGGUGAGACUGGAGUCCUGGAGAGGGUCGUGGAAUUCCCGGUGUAGCGGUGAAAUGCGUAGAGAUCGGGAGGAACACCAGAGGCGAAGGCGGCGACCUGGACAGGUACUGACACUGAACUACGAAAGCGUGGGGAGCAAACAGGAUUAGAUACCCUGGUAGUCCACGCCGUAAACGAUGGGUACUAGGUUUGGUGGGUCUUGACCCCCGCCGAACCGGAGCUAACGCACUAAGUACCCCGCCUGGGAAGUACGGUCGCAAGACUAAA